rnacentral:rRNA from 1 species
UACGUAGGGCGCAAGCGUUAUCCGGAAUUAUUGGGCGUAAAGAGCUCGUAGGCGGUUUGUCGCGUCUGCUGUGAAAGACCGGGGCUCAACUCCGGUUCUGCAGUGGGUACGGGCAGACUAGAGUGCAGUAGGGGAGACUGGAAUUCCUGGUGUAGCGGUGAAAUGCGUAGAUAUCGAGAGGAACACCUGCGGCGAAGGCGGCAUCCUGGACCGACACUGACGCUGAGGAGCGAAAGCCAGGGGAGCAAACGGG